GAGAGAACCAGACAAACCUGAGGAGGGAGACGAACCAGGCGAUCGAGACCUGCCUGGGACUUGUCCCACCUGGAUAGAAGAAACAACUGAAGGUCCCGGGAGUGGAAUUGGGAAUAGGGAAUGGCUUCGAAGGAAGCCACCAUCCUCCCCAGGACGCGCAUACACGUCCUGAUAGUCAGGGUGGACGGGCC